UCCGGUUUGUCACCGGCAGUCACCUUAGAGUGCCCAACUAAAUGAUGGCAACUAAAGGCGAGGGUUGCGCUCGUUGCGGGACUUAACCCAACAUGUCACCACACGAGCUGACGACAGCCAUGCAGCACCUGUCAUCUGGUUGUAUUGCUACAAAAGACGUAUUUCUACGUUUGUCCAGAGAUGUCAAACCUAGGUAAGGUUUUGCGCGUUGCUUCGAAUUAAACCACAUGAUCCACCGCUUGUGCGGGCCCCCGUCAAUUCCUUUGAGUUUUAGUCUUGCGACCGUACUUCCCAGGCGGGGUACUUAUUGCGUUAGCUCCGGCUCCACAGGGGUCAAGUCCCAUAAAGCCUAGUACCCAUCGUUUACAGCGUGGACUAC
rnacentral:misc_RNA from 1 species